rnacentral:rRNA from 1 species
GUGGGGAAUAUUGGACAAUGGGCGCAAGCCUGAUCCAGCCAUGCCGCGUGUGUGAAGAAGGCCUUCGGGUUGUAAAGCACUUUUGUCCGGAAAGAAAUCUUCCAGUUUAAUACGCUGGGAGGAUGACGGUACCGGAAGAAUAAGCACCGGCUAACUUCGUGCCAGCAGCCGCGGUAAUACGAAGGGUGCAAGCGUUACUCGGAAUUACUGGGCGUAAAGCGUGCGUAGGCGGUUUGUUAAGUCUGAUGUGAAAUCCCCGGGCUCAACCUGGGACCUGCAUUGGAAACUGGCGAGCUAGAGUACGGUAGAGGGUGGUGGAAUUCCCGGUGUAGCAGUGAAAUGCGUAGAGAUCGGGAGGAACACUCGUGGCGAAGGCGGCCACCUGGACCAGUACUGACGCUGAGGCACGAAAGCGUGGGGAGCAAACAGGAUUAGAUACCCUAGUAGUCC